rnacentral:rRNA from 1 species
CCUACGGGAGACAGCAGUGAGGAAUAUUGGUCAAUGGGCUUACACCUGAACCAGCCAAGUCGCGUGAGGGAAGACUGCCCUAUGGGUUGUAAACCUCUUUUGUCAGGGAGCAACGCCGGCUACGUGUAGCCGGACUGAGAGUACCUGAAGAAAAAGCAUCGGCUAACUCCGUGCCAGCAGCCGCGGUAAUACGGAGGAUUCGAGCGUUAUCCGGAUUUAUUGGGUUUAAAGGGUGCGUAGGCGGAAUGCCAAGUCAGCGGUAAAAUCGCGGGGCUCAACCUCGCUCCGCCGGGUAAACUGGCGUUCUUGAGUGGGCGAGAAGUAUGCGGAAUGCGUGGUGUAGCGGUGAAAGGCAUAGAUAUCACGCAGAACUCCGAUUGCGAAGGCAGCAUACCGGCGCCCAACUGACGCUGAAGCACGAAAGCGUGGGUAUCGAACAGGAUUAGAUACCCGAGUAGUC